ACAGCAGCAGUCCGUGACGAUCUCUGAGCUGAAGCAUGUGAUAUGGACAGCACGGUCUUAAAGCAGUGGCUACAGCAAAAGGCCGAGACUGAUACUUUGGACUGAGAGAAAGCAGAACUUCACCUUACUGCCCUUGACCCAGCUGGCUUUGAGACAAUGAGACCCAGAGCACCUCAGACACAUUUACAGAGGACCUCGAGACACAUUUACCUCGCCCUGCUGUUUCCCCAAAGCCAGGUGCUACAAUCCUCACCCUGCAUGGUGAGGGAAGACUGCCUGUUUUAGUAUAAAUCUCCCCUCUUCGUAUGGAUGCAGCCAUAAAGAAGCCAAUCCAGAAGCAUAAAAUGGAAAAGGUACUCAACAUAAAGGCAUUUGUCAAAGAAGACCUCAGUUUUCAUCUCCCUGCUAGAAGCAGGGAAAGAGAUCCGGGUGCCUGAAAAUAAACCAGAUUUUCCAGGUGUGGUUAGGUAAGGGGGAGAGAAAGAGCCGUGCUAGCCUGCAGCACCAACCUGUCUUUGCAGCUCUCCUUCAUUAAACAC
rnacentral:lncRNA from 1 species